AUAGCUGGAGCCGUAGCGAAAGCGAGUCUGAAUAGGGCGAUAGUUAUUAUUAAUAGACCCGAAGCGGUAUGAGCUAGACAUGGGCAGGUUGAAGGCAUAGGAAACUAUGCUGGAGGACCGAACGGGUUGGUGCUGCAAAACCUUCCGAUGACCUGUGUUUAGGAGUGAAAAGCUCAUCGAAUACCGUGAUAGCUGGUUCUCUCCGAAAUGCAUUUAGGUGCAGCCUGUAUUUUAAGGUCUUGAAGAGGUAGAGCUCUGGAAAGGCUAGGGGGAUCGAGAGAUCUUACCAAACCUUACUAAACUUCGAAUGCUUCAAGGAAUAAUACAGAGUGGGACUGCGGGAGCAAGUUUCGUAGUCAAAAGGAUAACAGUCCAGACUUCUGAUUAAGGUCCCUAAAGUAAUGCUAAGUGGAAAAAGAGGUGUCUUUACUUAUACAUCCAGGAGGUUUGCCUAGAAGCAGCAAUCCUUUAAAGAAAGCGUAACAGCUCACUGGACUAGUGAAGAUGCGCUGAAGAUGUAACGGGGCUAAGCAUUAUACCGAAAUCGAAGACCAGUGUAGUAAUACACUGUGUGGUAGGAGAGUGUUCUUACAGGAUGAAGCUACAUCGCGAGGUGUGGUCGACUAGUAAGAAGUAAAAAUGCUGACAUGAGUAACGCUUAUUGAUGAAAAUUCAAUAUAUCGAAACCCUAAGGAUUCCUACGCAACGUUCAUCGUCGUAGGGUUAGUCGGGACCUAAGGCUUGUCCAGAAAUGGAGGGUCGAUGGAUAACUGGUUAAUAUUCCAGUACUUAUAUAUAGAGUGAUGGGGUGACGCAUUGAGAUUUGUGAGAGCUUAUUAAGGAUUUAAGUCGAAAGAACAAGGUUUUUAUAGCGUUAGCUAUAAAGGUAGUUGCAGGAAAAUCCACAGCUAUUGAUACUGAGUUUGAUCGGGAUUCAAUUCCUCGGAAUUGGAAAUUCUCAUCGUUUUGGUGCCGAGAAAAACCUCUAAACUUAAUCUAUAUGUAACCCGUACCCAGAUCAGACACUUGUGGGGUGGUAGAGAAUACUAAGAUAAUCGAGAUAACUAAUGGGUAAGGAACUUGGCAAAUUAGCGGACGUACUUUCGAAAUAAGUCCUGUCCCGAGCAAUCGGGAUCGCAGCGAAAGAGAUGGGGGGAACUGUUUAUCAAAAACACAGCUCGCUGCUAACUCGUAAGAGGAUGUAUAGCGGGUGAUGCCUGUCCAAUGCCAGAAUGUUAUGCUCUCUUGUGCAAGCUCGAGGGUUAAGCACUGGUGAAUGACGGCCGUAACUAUGACGGUCCUAAGGUAGCGAAAUUCCUUGUCAGGUAAGUUCUGACGCGCAUGAAUGGCAUAAUCAUCCCCAUGCUGUCUUACCCUUAGACUCGGUGAAAUUACAUUCCCGGUAAAAAUGCCGGGUAGUCACAGUUAGACGGAAAGACCCUGUGAAGCUUUACUGUAGAUUGAUAUUGGAUUGUAGCAUGUUUUGCUCAGUAUAGGUGGGAGGCUUUGAUGUUUCGACUUCGGUUGGGGCGGAGCCAAUAGUGAGAUACCACCCAAAAUAUGUAGCAAUUCUAAUCCCUAGGUUGGGAGACAGUUUCAGUUGGACAGUUUACCUGGGGCGGGUGCCUCCUAAAAAGUAGCGGAGGCGUGCAAAGGUUUGCUUACUACGGAUGGAAACCGUGGUGAAUGUGUAUUCGCAUAAGCAAGCUUGACUGUGAGACUGACAGGUCGAACAGAUACGAAAGUAGGCGAAAGUGAUCCGGAUCUUCCGAGUGGAAGGGGAUCCGCUCAACGGAUAAAAGUUACUCCGGGGAUAACAGGCUAAUGGAAUCUAAGCGUUCACAGCGACGAUUCCGUUUGGCACCUCGAUGUCGACUCGUCGCAUCCUGGGGCUGUAGAAGGUCCCAAGGGUUGGGUUGUUCACCCAUUAAAGCGGGACGCGAGUUGGGUUCAGAACGUCGUGAGACAGUUCGGUCCCUAUCUACUGUGACCGUAGGAUAUUUGAGAGAUGCUGACCCUAGUACGAGAGGACCGGGUUGGACGAGCCUCUGAUAGUACCAGUUGUUCCACCUAGGAGCACGGCUGGAUAGUUAAGCUCGGAAAAGGUAACCGCUGAAAGCAUCUAAGUGGGAAACUUGUCUCAAGAUUAGAUAUCCCUCUUCU
rnacentral:rRNA from 1 species